AUUGAACGCUGGCGGCAGGCCUAACACAUGCAAGUCGAGCGAGCGGCGGACGGGUGAGUAAUGUAUGGGAAACUGCAUGAUGGAGGGGGAUCACUACUGGAAACGGUAGCUAAUACCGCAUACCAUCAGAUGUGCCCAGAUGGGAGUGGCUAGUAGGUGGGGUAAUGGCUCACCUAGGCGACGAUCCCUAGCUGGUCUGAGAGGAUGACCAGGCACACUGUAACUGAGACACGGUCCAGACUCCGACGGGAGGCAGCAGUGGGGAAUUGUGCGCAAUGGGCGCAAGCCUGAUGCAGCCAUGCCGCGUGUGUGAAGAAGGCCUUCGGGUUGUAAAGCACUGUCAGCGGGGAGGCGUUACCCACAGAGGAAGCACCGGCUAACUCCGUGCCAGCAGCCGCGGUAAUUC
rnacentral:rRNA from 1 species